AUGGCGACCGGCGCACGGGUGAGUAACACGUAUCCAACUUGCCGAUGACUCGGGGAUAGCCUUUCGAAAGAAAGAUUAAUACCCGAUGGCAUAGUUCUUCCGCAUGGUAGAACUAUUAAAGAAUUUCGGUCAUCGAUGGGGAUGCGUUCCAUUAGCUUGUUGGCGGGGUAACGGCCCACCAAGGCAUCGAUGGAUAGGGGUUCUGAGAGGAAGGUCCCCCACAUUGGAACUGAGACACGGUCCAAACUCCUACGGGAGGCAGCAG
rnacentral:rRNA from 1 species